GUUCCCGGAACCCGCAGGGAGAAGGGUGGUAGGCAACCUCGUGGAAACUGGGAAAGGCGGUGGGGACCUCGGGGUCGCCUCGCACCGCCGGGCGCACAGCCAAAGGGGCGGUCCCGCGGUGCUCACGGAGCAGAGCUGGGGAUGGUGUGCCCAGUCCCUCCGCUGCGUACAACCCAGCCCAGGACCGCCGGCGGCGCCGACUCAGCGAGUUGGGGUGCAAGUGCGAGGCGGGGCCUCUGCGCCAGGUCCCCUCCCUGACUAUAAAAGCAGCCGCGGCUGUUGGGUUCCACCACGCCUUCCACGUGCCUGAUAGUCUGUGAAUUUCUCGCGUGGGAUCUCCAGCCUUAUCGCGGCUCGAAAUGGACCCCAACUGCUCCUAGCCACUGGUGGCUCCUGCACGUGCCCCAGCUCCUGCAAGUGCAGAGUGCAAAUGCACCUUCUGCAAGAAGAGCUGCUAUUCCUGUUGCCCGGUGGGCUGUGCCAAGUGUGCCCAGGGCUUCAUCUGCAAAGGGGCGUCUGAGAAGUGCAGCCGCUGUGCCUUAUGUGGGGACAGCUCUGCUCCCAGAUGUAAAUAGACCAACCUGCACAAACCUGGAUAUUUAAAACAAUAUAGUCCUAAGCCGUUUGCUGCAUUUGUUUUUCUCUUAAAUAUGUGAGUAACAA